rnacentral:rRNA from 1 species
CGUGGCGGCUGCUAUACUGCAGUCGAACGCUUUUUCUUUCACCGGAGCUUGCUCCACCGAAAGAAAAAGAGUGGCGAACGGGUGAGUAACACGUGGGUAACCUGCCCAUCAGAAGGGGAUAACACUUGGAAACAGGUGCUAAUACCGUAUAACACUAUUUUCCGCAUGGAAGAAAGUUGAAAGGCGCUUUUGCGUCACUGAUGGAUGGACCCGCGGUGCAUUAGCUAGUUGGUGAGGUAACGGCUCACCAAGGCCACGAUGCAUAGCCGACCUGAGAGGGUGAUCGGCCACACUGGGACUGAGACACGGCCCAGACUCCUACGGGAGGCAGCAGUAGGGAAUCUUCGGCAAUGGACGAAAGUCUGACCGAGCAACGCCGCGUGAGUGAAGAAGGUUUUCGGAUCGUAAAACUCUGUUGUUAGAGAAGAACAAGGAUGAGAGUAGAACGUUCAUCCCUUGACGGUAUCUAACCAGAAAGCCACGGCUAACUACGUGCCAGCAGCCGCGGUAAUACGUAGGUGGCAAGCGUUGUCCGGAUUUAUUGGGCGUAAAGCGAGCGCAGGCGGUUUCUUAAGUCUGAUGUGAAAGCCCCCGGCUCAA